UACGUAGGGGGCGAGCGUUGUCCGGAAUCAUUGGGCGUAAAGAGCGUGUAGGCGGCCAGAAAAGUCCGCUGUGAAAACUCGAGGCUCAACUUCGAGCUGUCGGUGGAAACUUUCUGGCUAGAGUCCGGAAGAGGAGAAUGGAAUUCCUGGUGUAGCGGUGAAAUGCGCAGAUAUCAGGAGGAACACCGGUGGCGAAGGCGGAUCUCUGGGCCUUACCUGACGCUCAGGCACGAAAGCUAGGGGAGCGAACAGG
rnacentral:rRNA from 1 species